UCCCUAGUGGCUCAGUGGUAAAGAAUCUGCCUGCAAUGCAGGAGACCCAGGUUCGAUCCUUGGGUCAGGAA
rfam:TPA: Bos taurus chromosome 4, whole genome shotgun sequence.